rnacentral:rRNA from 1 species
GGUUCGAUCAUGGCUCAGAUUGAACGCUGGCGGGAUGCUUUGCCAAGCAUGCAAGUCGAACGGCAGCACGGACUUCGGUCUGGUGGCGAGUGGCGAACGGGUGAGUAAUGUAUCGGAACGUGCCUAGUAGCGGGGGAUAACUACGCGAAAGCGUAGCUAAUACCGCACAUUGCCCUUCGGGGGAAAGCGGGGACCUUCGGGCCUCUCUGCACUAUUAGAGCGGCUGAUAUCGGAUUAGCCAGUUGGUGGGGUAACGGCUCACCAAGGCGACGAUCCGUAGCUGGUUUGAGAGGACGACCAGCCACACUGGGACUGAGACACGGCCCAGACUCCUACGGGAGGCAGCAGGGGGAAUUUUGGACAAUGGGGGAAACCCUGAUCCAGCCAUCCUGGGCGUGCGAUGAAGGCCUCCUUCGGGUUGUAAAGCACUUUUGCGAAAGAAACGGCACGGGAUAAUACCCGUGCAACUGACGGUACCUGCAGAAUAAGCACCGGUUAACCAGAUACAGCCAGCAGCCGCGGUAAUACGUAGGGUGCAAGCGUUAAUCGAAUUACUGGGCGUAAAGCGUGCGCAGGCGGUUCGGAAAAAGCGAGCGAUGAAAUCCCAGAGCUCUAACUUUGAACUGCAUUUUUAACUACCGAGCUAGAGUGUGUCAGAGGAGGUGGAAUUCCGCGUGUAGCAGGAAAUGCGUAGAUAUGCGGAGGAACACCGAUGGCGAAGGGCAGCCUCCUGGGAUAACACCACGCUCAUGCACCAAAGCGUGGGGAGCAAACAGAUUAGAUAAUUUGCAAACUCACGCCUCAAACGAUGUCAACUAGCUGUCAGCCUUCAGCCUUGGUAGCGCAGCUAACGCGUGAAGUUGACCGCCUGGGGAGUACGGUCGCAAGAUUAAACUCAAAGGAAUUGACGGGGACCCGCACAAGCGGUGGAUGAUGUGGAUUAAUUCGAUGCAACGCGAAAAACCUUACCUCUACCCUUGACAUGUCUGGAAUCCCGAAGAGAUUUGGGAGAUACUGCAAGAGAACCGGAAAUUACAGGUGCUGCAUGGUUGCCCGUCAGCUCGUGUCGUGAGAUGUUGGGUUAAGUCCUGCAUCGAGCGCAACCUUUGUCAUUAGUUGCUACGAAAGGGCACUCUAAUGAGACUGCCGGUGACAAACCGGAGGAAGGGUGGGGAUGACGUCAAGUCCUCAUGGCCCUUAUGGGUAGGGCUUCACACGUCAUACAAUGGUCGGGACAGAGGGUCGCCAACCCUGCUGUGAGCGGGGAGCCAAUCCCAGAAACCCGAUCGUAGUCUGAUCGCAGUCUGCAACCUUGAAUGCGAAGUCGGAAUCGCUAGUAAUCGCGGAUCAGCAUGUCGCGGUGAAUACGUUCCCGGGUCUUGUACACACCGCCCGUCACACCAUGGGAGGGUUUCACCAGAAGUAGUUAGCCCAACCGUAAGGAGGGCGAUUACCACGGCAGGAUUCAUGACUGGGGUGAAGUCGGUAACAAGGUAA